rnacentral:rRNA from 1 species
GGCUUCGGCCCCAGUACAGCGGCGCACGGGUGAGUAACACGUAGGCGAUCUACCCUUGGAGUGGUGGAUAACCCUCCGAAAGGAGGGCUAAUACAGCAUGAGACCACGCCUUUUGAGGUGUGGCCAAAGCGGGCCUCUCCAUGGAAGCUCGUGCUUGAGGAUGAGCCUGCGGCCCAUCAGCUAGUUGGUAGGGUAAUGGCCUACCAAGGCUAAGACGGGUAGCUGGUCUGAGAGGAUGAACAGCCACACUGGAACUGAGACACGGUCCAGACUCCUACGGGAGGCAGCAGUGGGGAAUCUUGCGCGAUGGGCGAAAGCCUGACGCAGCGACGCCGCGUGAGCGAUGAAGGCCCUCGGGUUGUAACGCUCUGUGGGGAGGGAAGAAUAAGGGAAGGUUAAUAUCCUUUCUGAUGACGGUACCUCCUUAGCAAGCACCGGCUAACUCUGUGCCAGCAGCCGCGGUAAUACAGAGGGUGCAAACGUUGUUCGGAAUUACUGGGCGUAAAGCGCGUGUAGGCGGCUACGUAAGUCGGAUGUGAAAGCCCACG